GGGGAAGUGCUGGAAUUGGCAGACAGGCAUGACUUAGGAUCAUGUGCCGCAAGGCGUGAGGGUUCAAGUCCCUCUUUCCCCA
rnacentral:tRNA from 1 species